rnacentral:rRNA from 1 species
UACGAAGGGGGCUAGCGUUGUCCGGAAUUAUUGGGCGUAAAGCGCGCGCAGGCGGUUUCUUAAGUCUGAUGUGAAAGCCCACGGCUCAACCGUGGAGGGUCAUUGGAAACUGGGAAACUUGAGUGCAGAAGAGAAGAGUGGAAUUCCACGUGUAGCGGUGAAAUGCGUAGAGAUGUGGAGGAACACCAGUGGCGAAGGCGACUCUUUGGUCUGUAACUGACGCUGAGGCGCGAAAGCGUGGGGAGCAAACAGG